CCGAGAAGUGAAGGUUCGUAAGAUGCAUCAUAAGGAUUAGCACGCUGCAAGUUGAGAGCCUUUUGUUUUCAACAGUUGGGUUAUGAUCAUUGCUAGUUACCCCUAAUGCUAAGAAGGUUCAUAUUUUGGCCAAUGUUGAACAAUCACUGCUGCAAAUGGUUAGAAAGUUUUAUUGCAGAAUUUUAAUGAAGCACACUACAAGACCACAACGGAAAAAUUAAACAUGUUGCAGUCAGGACCUGUCGGUGUUGAAGUACAUGCAAAAGUUUAGAUAGAUUCCAGCUACUUAGAAGUACAUGAGUACUGACGUUAUUUUAGUCUUCCCCCUCGUUCAUAUGUAUAGAUAGAUUCUAGCUACUUAGAAGUACAUGAGUACGGAAGUUCUUUUAU